GAUGAACGCUGGCGGCGUGCCUAAUACAUGCAAGUCGAGCGAACAGACGAGGAGCUUGCUCCUCUGACGUUAGCGGCGGACGGGUGAGUAACACGUGGAUAACCUACCUAUAAGACUGGGAUAACUUCGGGAAACCGGAGCUAAUACCGGAUAAUAUAUUGAACCGCAUGGUUCAAUAGUGAAAGACGCUUUUGCUGUCACUUAUAGAUGGAUCCGCGCCGCAUUAGCUAGUUGGUAAGGUAACGGCUUACCAAGGCAACGAUGCGUAGCCGACCUGAGAGGGUGAUCGGCCACACUGGAACUGAGACACGGUCCAGACUCCUACGGGAGGCAGCAGUAGGGAAUCUUGCGCAAUGGGCGAAAGCCUGACGGAGCAACGCCGCGUGAGUGAUGAAGGUCUUCGGAUCGUAAAACUCUUUUAUUGGGGAAGAACAACUGUGUAAGUAACUAUGCACGUCUUGACGGUACCUAAUCAGAAAGCCACGGCUAACUACGUG
rnacentral:rRNA from 1 species